rnacentral:rRNA from 1 species
CCUACAUCCUUGCGCCGCGGCUUAGCUUCGCUAAUCAUACUUAUUGCCUGGCGCAUCUGAAAGGCGCGGAGCGCAUGCGUCUUCAACGAAGCAACCCCCUCGAUCCCACUCUUCGUCAAUGACAUCAAGGAAGAUGCCCGCAACUGGGCCGCCACCGGAGCCAAGGGGCUCAGCAACCUGCUCCCGCCCACGUAG